GAUCUGCUCAGGAUGAACGCUGGCGGCGUGCUCAACACAUGCAAGUCGAGCGAAGCACUUUUGCGGAUUUCUUCGGAUUGAAGCAAUUGUGACUGAGCGGCGGACGGGUGAGUAACGCGUGGGUAACCUGCCUCAUACAGGGGGAUAACAGUUGGAAACGGCUGCUAAUACCGCAUAAGCGCACAGUACCGCAUGGUACCGUGUGAAAAACUCCGGUGGUAUGAGAUGGACCCGCG
rnacentral:rRNA from 1 species